AUGCUCCAUGAGAUGAUCGGAAGUGGAACACCUGUGAGCAUGCAUACAUACGACAUAUUUCUUAGAGGACUUUGUAGAAAUGAUUGCACCGAUGAAGCAAUCGCCCUGUUCCAAAACUUAGGUGCACUAAAUGUGAAGUUCAAUAUUAUAAUACUCAAUACCAUGAUUAAUGCAAUGUACAAGGUUCAGAGAAGAGAAGAAGCUAACAAGUUGUUUGCUGCUAUAUCAACCAGUGGUUUGGUACCCAAUGCUUCCACGUAUGGAAUAAUGAUAAAAAAAUCUUCUAAAAGAAGGAUCAGUGGAAGAAGCUGA
rnacentral:rRNA from 1 species